GACAGAGGUGCCAAGCGUUAGGCGGAAUCACUGGGCUUAAAGCGUGUGUAGGCGGACGUCUAAGUACCUUGUGAAAUCCCACGGCUCACCCGUGGAACUGCUCGGUAUACUGGUCGUCUUGAGCCUUCUAGGGGCGAGUGGAACAAAUGGUGGAGCGGUGAAAUGCGUAGAUAUCAUUUGGAACGCCAAUGGUGAAAACAACUCGCUGGGGAAGUGCUGACGCUGAGACACGAAAGCCAGGGGAGCGAACGGG
rnacentral:rRNA from 1 species